GGGCCUGGGUCUCUUAUCCGCCUGCCGUUGUUCCCCGCUCAGCCGGGGGCGCCAUGUCCCAGGCACAACUUUCUUUUGCUCACUUUGCACGGGGAUGGGGGACUAGGAGGAGGUAAAGGGCAUCCUCUGCUGGGCGCACAGCGACCCCCCAGCCCUGACCAGGAUUCACGCGUGUCCCCGAUUGCAGCAUCUUUGUAUGCACGGGUCCCCCGCCUCCCUGUCGCACCCUCGGGCCGUUGGUUCUAGGUGGGUGUGUCAGCCCGACCAGCCCAGAAAGGCUUAGCGAUUUCCAGCCUUUCUCUCGUCUGAGUAACCGGACACAUUGUCUUGGUCCCCUCUCUGGCCCUCGAUGAAAUCUCCACUCAGUCAACAGGGCAAAGGGCAAACUGGUGCUGGGAAAAUGGGGUCAUCUCCAUAGUGCCCAGAUAAAAGUACAGGAUGGGCGGUCUCCCCUCUCACUCUUCAAGCAUCAGCUCUGUCCCUGAAACUUUCGGGUGUGGAGCCACUAGACUAAAAUGCAGGAAUCCCCAUGCCCGGCUUCUGCCCUAGAUCAACAUUUCACAUCUGUGUUUGUAAGGUGUGUAUUUGUGUACCUAGCUCGGCACAAGAUUGGGUACCACAGAGAUCCAGCUGGCUCUGGAAGAAUACCCUUGUAUUUUGAAAAUAGGUGACAGUAUUAGGGGUGCACUGAAGCAGCAUAAGCUGCAAGUUCCCUGCUGCUCUUACAUGCGCCAAAGCCAAUUUCUUGUCUUUGUAUUUCUGAGAAACUCAUGUCACACUGAAUAGCCGGAGGUAUAGCAUUGAAAUCCAGCUUGCCCUGAAUUAUUUAUUUUGUAGAAAAUUAAAAUCUUAGUUCAGAAAAUUCAGGGCCUGGGCAGGGCUGGAGUAUUCAAAGUUCGAACUGACGCUUUUGAGUUGGGGACAAUAGUAAUCAGAUACGUCACCCUUGUCUAAAUAAUGGCUGCGGAAUCCAGCUGCAUAUAUUAUUCUGCACUAAUACUGUUAUGAAUAAUAACCUGAAAUGGAAAUGUCUGCCUCAGAGCAAUUAGAGUUAAUGCUUACCCAAGUUUUAGAUGUUUUUCCAUUAAAAUGCUAAGAGCCAGGGAAAGGAAAGCACAUCUCUCUCAACUGUUUGGUUUUUGGAAAUAUAAAAAAUUAAACAAACCUUUAACUAUUGAUACUACCAGGAAAAAACAAGUCCUGUUUAAAAGUGCCAUUAAGAAACAAUGUCAGUGUCCCUUGGAAUCACUUACUUUGUGAUUUUCACAUGUUUAGAAUAUAGGAUUCCUUUAGGCCCUGCUCAAAUACCCUUUUAUUAAAAACUUUAGACCUUUUGGAAAGGGUUUGACUGAUUUCUAAACUGAAGAAUGGCCUUGUAGGAUGGUUAGUACCUCCUUCAGGCUUAAGUGCAAACUUUCACUUGUCAGAGGAGCCUGAGUUGAUCAGUGUUGAAAUGUUCCUUUCCUGACUCUAAGGGGUGGAAGAAGGGAUGGAAAAGGUCAGUAACAAUUGCUGUGAGUCAGUGCUAUUCCCCUUGCUGGAACACCCCUGAUGUAAGCCAGAUAAUAUGCCGCUGGGUUUGCAAGAUUAAAAAUGGUAACUAGAGAGAGGAAAAAUGUUCCUCCUUUAAACCCAGCAAUUCUCUCGUUUUCUUUCCUUUUGUAAACCCUAUACUUUUGGCUCCUAAUUGAAAAAUAAUAAUACAACCUAAGCAUCAGCAGGAUUUCUAGAGCUACAUGGUUAUUUGUACGUUCGGGCUUGCUGUCAGCUCAUUCAGGACAUGUUAUUAUCCCUAAUUUUGUUGAAUCACAGUUAGAAGAGACACCAUAGGUUAUCUCUUUCUGAACUUCAUCAUUAUUUCCUUGAGGAUAGAGGUUGUGUAUUUGGAUUUAUCUUUGUGGCUAAAAUACCUGGCACAUUAGAGGUGCUCCAUAAAUACUUAAUACAUUAAGCCACCCCUUAAUUUAACCAUUUAUUUUGCUAUAUAGAUGCAAAAUGAUCGUCUGGUUUCACUGCCAUUUUCAGGGACCUCUCUAUCCCAUGAAGCAACUUUUGGGCAACUUUUCUUUUAAAAAAUCAUAUUAAGCCUGAAUCUGCCCACUUGUAAUUUCUACAAACUAUCGUUAGUUCUGACUUCUUGAAAUAUAUGAAUAACUAUGUUUCCUUUUUCUGAAAUAUUUUAAUGAUUUUAAGCAUGUGGACUCGUGUAUCUGUUAGAAAAGGUUGGGUAAUGCCACAGUAACAAGCAAUCCCCAAAUGUCAAUGCCUUAAUCAAACAAUAACAAUUCAUUUCUUGCUCCUGCUACUUAGCCAGCAUGAAUGAGCCGGGCAGGUCUGUUCAUCACUGCCCUUCAGAGACCUAGACUGAUGGAGGUUCCAUGACCACACAGUCAUGGUGGGAAAAGCAUGUGGCAAAUUGUGCACAAUCUCUUCAGCUCCCACACUGAAGUCAUGAAUAUGACUUAUGCUCACAUUUCAUUGGCCAGAGCAAAUCAUCAGUCUGUGUCCAACUUCAAAAGAUUUGGGAGAGUGCAAUCUUACCACGAUCUUGUUAGAGAGGGAUUAGAAAUAUAUAUUUAGAAAAUUGCUUCAGUAUCUCUCCCAGAUCUGGGGAUGGACUACUGGGUAAAACCUGGCUCAACUCUUAAAAAUUAUGAGACUAUAACCAUGUAUCUUGGACUACUUUCCACAUAAUAAGUACUCAAUACGUAUUAAUUGGUAUUACUCUUUGAUUUUUACUGCUCUAUAUGUGUUCCUAACUUCAUCUUUUCCUUGUAUGAUCAUUUUCAUCAUUUUGAUUUCCUUUUCAGGGUUUACUUUAUUUUGUAAAUAUUCUUUCGAAAAUACAAUGCCCAGAACCGAACACAGUGCUCCAGAUGGGAUAUGGCCAUGGCAAAGUGAAUUAGGCUAGUUAACUUCCUUGAUUUAUAUGCACCAUAUGCUUCUAUAGUACAAGAUUACACCUGAUAAUUCAGUGUCCAUAUCCUACUAUUGUCUCCAUAGUAAAUUCCUAUCAUUCAAGCCUUCAGAAACUUUUCCACAUAAGCUCUCCACUCUAUGCUGGUACAACUGAACUUAGAACCAAAAGGAGAGAGGGAACACUAACUGUAGAAUUUUAUUUUUCUUCCCACUAUAAUAUUCAUCACCAUCUGAGUUCAUCUUUCUAUUAUACCAUGAUAAUUUUGAACCUUAAUUCUGUGAUAUAGCAUCCCUACCCCAAGUUUUGGACCAUCUGCAGAUUUGAUAGUGAGUCCUUCUCUAUAAGUACUUUCUAUGUACCUAGCAUAAAUACAUAUCCCCCUCCCUUUUAUUUUCUCUUAAAGAAAAUGAUUUUAUAGAUAAAAGAAUCAAAAAUCAGGGACUCUAAGUGGUUAGCCCCAGAUCACAUAGAUCAUAAGUGGUGAGCCAGAAUUCAAACUGAUUUUUUCUAAUUGCAGAAUCCAUCCUCUUCCCAGACUGAGAGGCUGCUUUAUUUAAAUUUAAUGAGCCUGACCAUUGUGUCUGCACCUGACAUGUUACUAUAAUGCAGAGCAAGGACAUCUUUCCACAUGUCUCUAGAAACCUUCCUUCAUCUUGCCACCAGCCCAAAUAUUCAUGAUGCUUGGAAAGCAUUUGCUCAGCCUUUAAGUACAAUAACUGCAAAAUCCUUGUUCUUCCAAGUUGAUUGCAAAAUUAUCAAAAAAGGUUUUUAAAAAAUGUCUUGGUAAACUCAAAAUAUGCUUUGUCUCUAGCAUAUCUACUCAUUAGUCCCACCAUUAGAAAAUGAGUUUAGUUAAUUAAUCAAUAAAUUAUGAAAGAAUUAAAUAAUAAAAGUGUUUGGUAGAAUAAAAAAAUAAAAAUAUUUCUGAGUUAUACUACGAAUGCCAAAUUCCACGUUUGAGAUAUGAUGAGGUAUUUAUAUUGUGGUUCUGGACCUAUCUGUAAACACCUUGUUAAAUUUUAUAGUUUGAUUUUUCUCAUGAUAGGUGUUCAUACUGCCAAAAUCCUCCAUCCUCCAUGGUUGGCUCACAUAUUUUUUGUUAAUAAUUUUUGACAGUAGGAGCAUUAAAAACAAUUCUAAGUGAAAAGUAAAUAUUCUCCAUCAUUUCUCGAGAUGGUUCCCAGAAUCUAGCAGUGAAAUUACUAAAGGGAGGAGAAUUAUGUUAUAUGGUCAGCCAAGAGCAAAUGAUACUGCAGAGACUCUCAUCCAGCGAAAACAUAGUAAUGACAUAUGAUUACAAGGGUCUAUUGAUAACUCCCUCUCAGGAGCUGUGGGUCAUUUCUAGUUCCCUGCUUCCCACGUGGGCCACUUUUGUGUAAGAUGUUCCCUUUAUGAAGUCAACAGGGGUUCUAGGUGUUGAAGGAGAGCAUUCAAAACCAAUAAGAUGUGUCUCUUUGCUUUUUCACUAUUUUUCAUUUGCUCUUUUGGUCCUGGGCGAAAAGUUUUCAAAAUGAUUCAGAGACACUGAAGUUCUCCUCCUUAGCCCGCAUAAGGAAAGAUGGCUGAAAAUAGAAUCCUAGGUUUAUAAAGCCCUCUGGAGUCAUCCGAAUCCAAACCCUGCAGUGUAAAUUAAUUUUACCAGGCUCCUCUGACAAGUGAAAGUUUGCAUUUAGACUAGGAAAAAAAAAGGUGCUUGCUUACCUGGCCCUUAGGCCACACUUGAAUCUGGGAGUGUACUCACUUCUCCAAAAUUGGAAAUGUUUGAAACCUUUCAGAACUUUUGUUUAGUUUGACACUGGGCAUUUGAGGAGAGCAUAAAAAAAUGUGUCUUCCAAGUAAUGCUUCGAUUGGCAGAGUUCCCUCAAAGUAAUGGUCCCUGGAGUUAGGAUUUUGCUGACGGCUCUUGUAAGUAAUGUUUAAGACAGCUAGAGACUGCCUGUGUUGCUUUUCUGUCAGUGAUUUCUAUUGCUGAUUCUCCUUAUGAUUUAUUUCCACUGGGCAUUAUCCCUUCAACUAAUAUUUCUGUGAGAUAGUGGAUAACGCUUACUAGGAAUAGGAAAUCUGGCUGAGGAGAAUGCAAUCUGUGACUGGAAGCUUAGCCUUCCAUUUUUGAGGGGAGGCAAAAAUUCCAUUUAGGUGUAUGAACGCUUUUUAAAUAUUAAACUUCUAGGAAAAUGUAAUAUUAAAAUUUAUCUGUACUCUUAACGUGGACUCAUAUGACAUUCACAAAACAGUUCUACUCCGCCAAAAGAAUGAGAUGAGGCAGAAAAGAAAACUAAACCCCAAAUAACUGCAUAAGGCAUUAGCACUCUCAGCUAAUGGAGACCCAGCCUUUAACCAGCUAUCCCACUUGGGCACGUUACCUCUUUUCUCUCUGAGUUUUAGUUUCUCUUUUUCUAAAGUUAGGGGACUAGACCAAAUGGUCACUUUGGUAAUAGUCUAUAAACUUUUUUGAUUGUGCAUCUCUAUGCAAAAAUUUUCGAGCAUGUUCUCUAUGCAUGUAUAUGUACCCACUUGCGCAUUGAUAUAAAUUAUGUACAAAUAAUGUACUAAUAUCUCGUGAUCUUGAUACAAUACGAAUAAAGGUAAAACUAGGAAGGAAGAGAUAUUAUCAGAAAUACAAACAGAAAUCCUGAUAUUUUUCCUUGUACCUCAGUAGCUCAUCUUCACUACCUAGUUGGCUGAAUGCUUGUAUGACCAAAGCCAUAAGUCAGUGUUUCUAAUAUUAGAGUCACUAAUGAGUUCAUUGUCAUUUCCAGUUCUUCAAAGAUAUAUGUUUUUUUAUGGACUAGUAUCUAAGAGAAAAAUUCAAAACUAUUGAAGGCCGCAAUGAGGCUACAGACUCGGUGCUGGUUAGCGGUCAGUGUACUAGGUUAUCCAAUUUGUGGGCAUAGAGUUUUUCAUAAUAUUCCUCUAUUAUUCUUAUAAUAUCCAUGGGAUCUGUAGCAAUGUCUCCUCUUUUAUUUCUGUUGUUAGUAAUUUGUGUCUUCUCUCCUUUUUUCUUAGUUAUCCUGACUGUAAGCUUAUUGAUUAUUGACCUUUUCGAAGAACCAACUCCUGGUUUUGUUAAUCUUCUUUAUUGAUUUCUUGUUUUCAGUUUCAUUGAUUUAUGUUCUAAUUUCUAUUCUGUCUUUUCUUCUGCUUACCUUGGACUUAAUUUGUCUUCUUUUUCUAGUUUCCUAAGAUGAAAGCUUACACUAUUGACUUUAGGCCUUUUUUUCCCUAAUAUAUGCAUUUUAUGUUAUAAAUUUCCCUCUAAGCACUGUAUUUUUACUUUUAUUUAGCUCAAAAUAUUUUAAAUUAAUUUUGAUGUUAUACAUCUCACUUAUAAGCAUACAUAUAUAUGUAUACACAUGCAUAACUGAAUACGCUGCUGCUAUUAUUUUGGAUUAAUUUAUGUUAGAUCAGUUAAGAAAAAUGAAAGUUUUUAUUUUAUUUUGUCUUCAGUUAUUCUUUCUUCAGUACUCUUCCUUUUUUAAAUGUAGGUCCAAGUUUCUGACCUAUGUCAUUUUCUUUCUCUCUGAAGAACUUUUAACAUUUCUGGUAAGACAGAUCUACAAAUUCAUAGCCAACAAAUUUCCUCAUUUUUGUUUGUCUAAGAAAGUCUUUAUUUCUCCCUCAUUUUCGAAGGAUAUUUCCCAAGGUCAGAAUUUUAGGCUGGUUUUUCUUUGAACACAUUAUAUAUUUCACUCUAUUUUCUUCUUGCAUGGGUGGUUUCUGAGAAGUUAGAUGUAAUUCUUACCCUUGCUUCUCUUUAGGUAAGGUGUUUUUUCCUCUGGCUUCUUAGAAGGUUUUUUCUUUAUCUCUGAUUUUCUGUGAUUUGAAUAGGAUGUGCCUAGAUAUAGUUGUUUUCAUUUUGUUUUGUUUUGAUAUCCUCUGAGCUUCUUUGAUCUGUGGUUUGGUGUUUGACAUUAAUUUAGUGUUUGAUGUUAAUUUUCUUCACCUUUUGGUAUUCCCAUUAUGCAUGUUACACUUUUUGUGGUUGACCCAUAGUUCUUGGGUAUUUUGUUAUGGUUUAUUUAGUCUUUUUUUCUUUUUGCUCAGUUUUGGAAGUUUCUAUUAUUAUAUCCUCAAAUUCAGAGAUUCUUUCCUCCAUCCUGUCUAGCUUAGUAAAGAGCCCAUCAAAGGCAUUCUUCAUACAGUGUUUUUUAUUUCUAGCAUUUUUUGAUUCUUUAGAAUUUCCAUCUCUUUGCUUACAUUAUCUAUCUGUUCUUACAUGUUAUCUACUUUUUCAUUGAAGCAUAUUAAUUAUAAUUUUUCUAAAUACUUGGUCUAAUAAUUCCAACAUUCCUGCCAUAUCCCACUCUGGUUCUGACGUCUGUUCAGUAUCUUCAGACCAUGUUUUUUGCCUUUUGGUAUGCCUUGUGCUUUUUUAUUAAAAGGUGGAUACAACCAGUGGAUGAAAUGAACUCCAAUACAUACAACGUUAGUAAUAUAGUAGUAAGGCAUGGAGGGAUGGGAGCAUUCUAUAGUCUUAUGAUUAGGACUUAGUCUCCCGGUGAACUCAUGCCUGUGGACUGUGGACUUCACCAUGCUUCUCAGUGCCUGCCCCCCUUAGGUGGGACAGGAUGGAGGGAGGGGGCUGGAAUUGUGCAUUUCCCUUCUCUCACAUGGAAGGUCAGAGGUGGCUGAUAUGGAUUUCCUCCUUCCCCCUCAGGUAGGUUAGGCUCUGGGAAAAUAGUUUCUCCUGAAGGUGAGCUUUGUUAAGGAGAACAGAAUAGUCUGGUAUAUUUUGAAAUGGUUCCUUUUCCCCUCCCCCUGCCAGAAGCAGGAGGAGAUUUUUCUCUACUAUUCACCGUGAGGACCUAGUAGAGCUCUUGGAGGUGAUGGUCAUAACUGUGAGGGCCCUCCAAUAGUUGGGUCCCCCUGGAGUUUUUAACUCUUAGAAUUGUCCACACUGAGCCUCCAACAAUUUGUCAUCUACAGGUCAGGUUUUCCUGCCCUGGUUAGUUCCCAUGAAAGUGUUUGCUUGUGGGUUUCUGCUCAGGUAAGUGAUUCUCUGUAUCUACCUCUCUGUCUCCCCAAUUUUGGAGGCAGUGGCUUUCCCUGUGACUUCACCUUUCUGCUGGAUCUAAGAAGAGUUAUCGACUUGUCAGUUUGCUCAGCUUUUCACUUAUUGUUAAGAUGGAGCUCUUUACAUGAUGGACUGGAAACCCUAAACUAUAUUUUUAAACUUAAGUUGUUAGGGCAUCUUUUCAGAGCAUCAGAGAUUUUCUAAAGCAUUAUUUACAAUGGCUUUAUAGUACUCCAUUGUGAGAUAGUACAUAUUUAAUUACUAAUUACUUUUAAAUUGGAUAUUUAAGUUCUUUUUCAAUUUUGAUUUCACUUUUCUUUUGCUGUUGUAAAUAAGGAGACAAUUGACCAUCUUCUAGAUAAAUCUUUGUACAUAUUCAUUUCACUACUCUUGGACAAUGGAAAAUUCCUAGAGAUGUCCGCAUGUGGUAUGGUCAUUAUAUGCUACAGGAACACUGAGCAUGGGAUGGUCACUUCCUGCAUGACACCUCACAGGCAGGACUCUAAGUGUAUAAAGCCUGGAAAGCCUUUUGUGUAAAUUCUGUAAGAAAGAAGGGCACAGCCUGGACAACAUUGCUUAACAGCAGAUGAGAUUAAAGGUCACAAGAGCCAGGUAAGUGGGGACAAAGUAAAAGAUGUGGGAUGAAGAAGAUUUUAAAUCUUAGCUGGAGUUAAAACAUAGAAAGUUAAAGUUGUAAAAGGAGAUCAACCAAAGGAACAGAAUUUUUCUCUACCAAAGUCAUUCUAACCUUCAUCUCUUGGCAUUUUACUUUUCCUUGGGUUUGGAGGCACAAAUAUGAUGUCCAAGUUAUGUCCAAAAGAAAAGUUCCAUUUAUAGGUAACUAAUUUAUGCAAGACACUGUCUCUAAUUCUCAUGAUAACUCUACAAAAUAGGUAUUGAUAUCAACAUAGUGUGGAGGAGAAACUUAACCUCAGAGAAGUUACCUGUCGUCGUAUAAUCAUAUAAUUAGAAAUAAACAAAGUCAGGAUUUAAAUGCUAGGACUGUCUGAUUGCUUUUGACAUACCACUUUUCUGUUCUCCUUUUAUGUGGUAGCAGUUAAGCAUCGGUGCCAAAUGGGGUCCAGCACCUAGAGCUGACUUGGCGAAAAGGAUUAUCCAAAAUAAAAUGCCUACUAACUGGUAGGACUUUCUGGAGAGUGAGAGGAUGUGGCUCACAAAAUUGAAACAGCAAAGCAGAAUUUGGUCAAGUCCAAAACGUGAACACAGUAGCUAAAUCAGAAAACAUGGGAAGAUAUGAGGCCCUAGAAAGCAUCCAGGAGAUAGAGAAAGGGAAGGAAGAAGCGGAGAGGGAGUAGGACGGUUUCAUGAGAAGCCCUAAGUUCCUAAUGAUAAUUUUUAUUGGGUGCUAUGGCUCACUGGGAGGUCGGCCUGAUUUAAAGGCACCUCCGAAGGGCAGACAGUAUUUGAAGGAUGGUGGCAGAGAUCGGGCUCAAAUCCAGUCUACAGGGCCUUGCAAGUCUACACACUGCCCAUUCUGGACAUUCUCUGUCAAGCACAGAACUACUUGGUUUGUUGUUAAGCUGCUAGACUAUGUCCAAUGAGAAAAGAUUCAAUGCUUCAGUUGAUUUGGUAGGGAGAGGCUGUUUUCCUCUAAUAUUCCCACAUCCUAUCACUUAGAAAUAAAUAAAAACAACGAAAUGGGAAGUUGUGUUAUAAAUGGAUACAUAGUGAGAAGGAAAAAAAAAAAUACAGUUGAUGAAUGAUGAUAUCUCACACAGUUGAUAGUGAGGGAAAACCUUUCCAGAGAUAUAGUUUUCUCCUACACACCACCAAGGGAGAGUCAGGAAGCCAGCCAGUGGUACUCUUAGGUGAUUUUUUAGUGAGAUUACAGGGUCAGGGAGUUUCAAAUGGAUGUGUAGGAUUUGAAAUGAAGGCAGCACCUGGCAAUGCGUGCUGUCAGCUAAGAAUUUGAAAAUAAAGGCUGAGAUGUCCCUUCAUUGUCCACAACAGGAGUCUGUAAACGUUUUCUGUAAAGGUCCAGAUAGUAAAUAUUUUAGACUUUGCAGGUUAUCAAGUGUCUGUCUUAUAACUAAACUCUGUAUCGCAAAAGCCUCUAUAUAGACAAUAUGUAAAUGAACGGGGUAGCUAUGUGCCAAUUCAGCUUUAUUUACAGAGUCAGGUGGUGGGCUGGAUUUGGCCUAAGGACAAUAGUUUGUCAACUCCUGGUCUUGAAUACAAGAAAAGGGACAUGCGCGCAUAUGUAUAGAGUGGCAGAAUGAACCCUAGCAACUUUCAGUGUGAAAAACUUCAGACAUUUGAAGGAGAUUUGGUAACUAAACAAGACAAUCUAAAAGGCUCAACAAGAAACACUCAUUUCCCUCUUUUGGGAUGUCUGAGAUUGGAGGAGGAAAUUAAAAAUACAUAUCUGACAAUGAAGGGAAGAACAGUGCAGGACAUUUUAGGAAUGCAAAUCUGUGAAGCUGCGACAUGGCUUUGUAAAGAACAGAGACAGAAGAAAGGAGAAGUUUUAAGAGGCUCACCUGGAAAUGACAGAAAUAAAGGAAGUCCAAGUGAUGAGGAAGAAGGAAGUCAAAGUUAGAAUACGGCUUUGCUGGAGUGCUAGGAAGUGGAGAAGUGUGAAGGCAGCAAACAGCUUGGAACCGCAAAGAGGAGAGCAACAUUUUCCACAAAGACCUUGCAUUGCUUUUGAAAUGAAAUAAAAGCAUUAUAUUUUCUCUUACAAAGAAGAGAAUCCUGCUCAAGUUAACCUCAAAACAUAGGUGACCGAAAAAAAAAAAGGGACUUAA